AGCUGCCACAUCAGCGCUCCAGGCUGGGUCACAGGCCUGCUCGAUGCGCUCCAGAACCACACUGUCCCAUUGUUUCUUGGCCAGGGUGAACUGACGGUUCGGCUCCAGCUCGAUGGUGUGUCCAGGGUGCGCGGAGCCACAGCAGCGCAAGGGACACCUUAGGGAACAUAGAUUCCUCCGCUGUUGCAGCAGCCACCACCAACCAAGUGGCUGAUGCAAUGAGGGCGCAUGCGUAGCCCGCGUCCCGCCUCCCGGAGCACGUUGUACGUCCCGACUGCGGAGGCGGGGCCGAAGCUUGCGCGUGCGCAGCGGCACGAAGCGUGGACGAAUGUCUUCUAAAGGAAGUUCGUGAUAUCCUUCGUGGAGAGUCUUUUAUUUUAAUGCUGAACUUGGACUUCCUAAGUUUUUACUUCCCUACCCGUUUGUGAAGAAUCUGGGGACUAUAGUUUGAUACAAAGUCCGUAAUUCAGAUUGCCGCCUUCUCCUUCCACUUCCAUGAGGAUUCACCAGUUUUUCACUGAGCAAGGAACUGAUCACACUGAAGUGUGAAGAUGGCUUGCCUCUCCAAAGGACAAUGUAUCUUUUUGAAAGAUGCUUGUUAACCUAGAAGAAUUCCUAACUGGACGAGAAGGGAGAGAGGAAGAGGAGGAGGGUGAUAGAGGAGAUACUUUAAGGUUCUCCUUGAUCACAAUUCACUCCUCUCCAAAGUUAGCCAAGGAUUAAAAACCACAGAAUCACAGUGGCGGGCACAUAGUAGAAUCUUAAUAAAAGUUAGUUUUUUAUUGAAGAGA